UAGUCAUAUGCUUGUCUCAAAGACUAAGCCAUGCAUGUCUAAGUAUAAAUGUUAUACAGUGAAACUGCGAAUGGCUCAUUAAAACAGUUAUAGUUUAUUUGAUAAUCGAAUUUUACAUGGAUAACCGUGGUAAUUCUAGAGCUAAUACAUGCUGGUUCGCCUGACUCUCGAGGAAGGGCGGUAUUUAUUAGAUAACAAACCAAUAUUCCCUAGGUCUAUUGUGACGACUCAUAAUAACUGAUCGAAUCGCAUGGACCUUGUCCGCGAUGCGUCAUUCAAGUUUCUGCCCCAUCAGCUGUCGAUGGUAGUGUAUUGGACUACCAUGGCUUUAACGGGUAACGGAGGAUUAGGGUUCGAUUCCGGAGAGGGAGCCUGAGAAACGGCUACCACAUCUAAGGAAGGCAGCAGGCGCGUAAAUUACCCAAUCCUGACUCAGGGAGGUAGUGACAAGAAAUAACGGACCGGAGCUACGCUUCGGGAUUGCAAUGAGCCGAAUUUAAACCCCUUGGUGAGGAUCCAUU
rnacentral:rRNA from 1 species